rnacentral:snRNA from 1 species
AUACUUACCUGGCAGGGGAGAUACCAUGAUCACGAAGGUGGUUUUCCCAGGGCGAGGCUUAUCCAUUGCACUCCGGAUGUGCUGACCCCUGCGAUUUCCCCAAAUGUGGGAAACUCGACUGCAUAAUUUGUGGUAGUGGGGGACUGCGUUCGCGCUUUA